UACGUAGGGUGCGAGCGUUAAUCGGAAUUACUGGGCGUAAAGCGUGCGCAGGCGGUUUUGUAAGACAGAUGUGAAAUCCCCGGGCUCAACCUGGGAACUGCGUUUGUGACUGCAAGGCUAGAGUACGGCAGAGGGGGGUGGAAUUCCUGGUGUAGCAGUGAAAUGCGUAGAUAUCAGGAGGAACACCGAUGGCGAAGGCAGCCCCCUGGGCCUGUACUGACGCUCAUGCACGAAAGCGUGGGGAGCAAACAGG
rnacentral:rRNA from 1 species